CGAAGCUUUCGAUAAGUUAUAGUACUACUAGUUACUACGUUUUCAAUUGCCUUCGUAUAGUUAUUCAUAUACGUACAUGUUUGGAAACAUUUUAAAUUUAAAAAUUUUGAAGGAUUUUUAUUUAUUUUUUAGACGAGAGGUUCUUUUAUUCUUAAUAAUCAUUCGCUCAACUGAUGGUAAUCUGGAGUAUGUACUUGUGAUUCUAAUCCCAAGUGGUAAUGAUGGUAAAGUAUUGUUUAUUUUAUAGACCUGUAUAAAUUCUAUCGAUUUAAAAGUUUUGCUAUCUCAAUCUUCCCCACACAUAUUUUGACUUGAUUUCCAAUCUAAAGAGACUUGCGCCCGUUUUUGGACAGGUGACAAAAAUUCAUUCUAACCUCGAAAAUGUAAUUUAUUAACUGAAUGGAUGGCAAUUGUGUGUGCCGUUAUUGCUUUAUUAUGGAUGAUCGCGUAUAAAAUAAUCUCGUAAAGACAUUUUAAUAUGGUAUAUUGAGUGCUGUAUAAACACAACAAAUAUCAUAUACAAUGUCAUCAAGGUUCUGAGUACAUAUAUAGAACUGAUAUGGCAACUCAAAUGAUUUUAAAUUAACCACUAAUCUAUGUGUGACAGCUAAUGCGUCUGAGUGCGAGGAUUUUAAAGUUCAUCACCGCCCUUACAACACGAUCGUAUUAUGAGGGAGUCAGUUACAACUUGGAAAUCAAAUCAAAUAGAUAUAGAAGAGCUCUGAAGAAUGUGUUCAACCUUCCUUUACGUUUUCAGACCUUGAAUUGAUAAUGGAAUUCAGAUGGCUUUUUCCUUUUCCUCGAAUUGCAAAAUAUGUAAAUAAUGUCAUUCAAAAGAUUUCUUUCUUAUUUCCUACUGACCAGUUUGGUGUUAAUCUUAAGUGUUCCACAUUGUACCUUCCUCACUGACUUCGCAUAUGGUAAACCUUCCUCGCGGGUGCAUGGUAUCUGCAGCUUUUUUGCAACUCUGUCAGCGCUUAAUAUCAAUAAAGAGUACUUCAGAUGUAAGAGUACUUCAAAUAACAUGAUUGUGGCACGAUUCGCUUAUCUGCAACCGCAAUUCACAUUCUAAUCUAUACAUGUCCUAUCUAGUGAUAGGAAAGUGCCCAAGAACGAGGUUGUGACGAUGACGCAACAAAUACAUGAAUUUUAGCAUACUUUUCAGUAGUAUAAAAUUGUAUAAUAAGUUGGAAUUAAUCAAGAGAAAAAGUUGGCAACAACUGAAUUACCGUAAUAUUCUUUUUCUAUCUUAUCCCUUAGAGAGAGAAAUUGUGGAAUUUAUUUCCGAAGCAUUGUGAAGGACAUUGGGACAUUUAGCUACUAGUGGGACAUUGGGACAUUUACUAAUUGAUACUUUGAAAUUACAAAAUAAUUAAAUUAAAUAAUUUGAAAAACUCGUCAAAAUAUGUAAAUAGACGGUCUAGUCUUAGUAAUGUUAUUGUAAGUAGUUUGAUCUCUAUCACGUGAUGUGAAUUGUAUCAUUGUGUCGUUCAUACCGAAAUCACCUGUGCCGAAGUUA